AGGGAUCAUUACUGAGUUACCAGCUCUAUAACCCUUUGUGAACAUACCUAACCGUUGCUUCGGCGGGCAGGGGAAGCCUCUCGCGGGCCUCCCCUCCCGGCGCCGGCCCCCACCACGGGGACGGGGCGCCCGCCGGAGGAAACCAAACUCUAUUUACACGACGUCUCUUCUGAGUGGCACAAGCAAAUAAUUAAAACUUUUAACAACGGAUCUCUUGGUUCUGGCAUCGAUGAAGAACGCAGCGAAAUGCGAUAAGUAAUGUGAAUUGCAGAAUUCAGUGAAUCAUCGAAUCUUUGAACGCACAUUGCGCUCGCCAGCAUUCUGGCGAGCAUGCCUGUUCGAGCGUCAUUUCAACCCUCAAGCACCGCUUGGUUUUGGGGCCCCACGGCACACGUGGGCCCUUAAAGGUAGUGGCGGACCCUCCCGGAGCCUCCUUUGCGUAGUAACUAACGUCUCGCACUGGGAUCCGGAGGGACUCUUGCCGUAAAACCCCCAAAUUUUUUACAGGUUGACCUCGGAUCAGGUAGGAAUACCCGCUGAACUUAA
rnacentral:rRNA from 1 species